rnacentral:tRNA from 1 species
GGAUGAUUGGCAGAGAGGUUUAUUGCAGCGGCUUGCUAGGCCGUAGGCGUUUCGGCGCUCACAGGUUCGAAUCCUGUAUCAUCCG